rnacentral:rRNA from 1 species
GACAGAGGUGCCAAGCGUUAGGCGGAAUCACUGGGCUUAAAGCGUGUGUAGGCGGAUCGUUAAGUACCUUGUGAAAUCCCACGGCUCAACCGUGGAACUGCUGGGUAUACUGGCGAUCUUGAGCCACCUAGGGGCGAGCGGAACAAGCGGUGGAGCGGUGAAAUGCGUAGAUAUCGCUUGGAACGCCAAUGGUGAAACAGCUCGCUGGGGGUGUGCUGACGCUGAGACACGAAAGCCAGGGGAGCGAACGGG